CCUACGGGAGGCUGCAGUCGAGAAUCAUUCACAAUGGGGGAAACCCUGAUGGUGCGACGCCGCGUGGGGGAAUGAAGGUCUUCGGAUUGUAAACCCCUGUCAUGUGGGAGCAAAUUAAAAAGAUAGUACCACAAGAGGAAGAGACGGCUAACUCAGGGCCAGCAGCCGCGGUAAUACAGAGGUCUCAAGCGUUGUUCGGAAUCACUGGGCGUAAAGCGUGCGUAGGCUGUUUCGUAAGUCGGGUGUGAAAGGCGCGGGCUCAACCCGCGGACGGCACAUGAUACUGCGAGGCUAGAGUAAGGGAGGGGGAACCGGAAUUCUCGGUGUAGCAGUGAAAUGCGUAGAUAUCGGGAGGAACACUCGUGGCGAAGGCGGGUUCCUGGACAUUAACUGACGCUGAGGCACGAAGGCCAGGGGAGCGAAAGGGAUUAGAUACCCGUGUAGUC
rnacentral:rRNA from 1 species